GUUUUAACUGUCAAAAACAAUGACUUUUAGUGUUGAAAAUCCUUGUGUCGGUGGUUCGAUUCCGCCCCGGGCCACCA
rnacentral:tRNA from 1 species